AAGUUUUGUUGAAUUGCACAGAGCUGCACGGCUGGCUGCUGGAGGAGGAGGCUUGGAACGGGAACAGAGGGCAAGCUAAGUUCAGAUCCACACUGCUAAGCUGUGGGAACAUCUUGGGCAACUGAGAUGGGGAGACCGACCUCCAGAAGUCAUGGUCCAGCCAGAGCCGCACAGUCGUUCCUCAUCUUGAGAAUGCCAGGGUGACACUUCCUGAAUCCGACAGCCGUCCUUCACAGACUCCAGCAAAUAUUUUGUGAUGUUGCAAGGUGUUAGGAGGAGUGAAAUGCAAGCUGUGAUUCAGCCGGCAUGAAGACUUUGCAAACACGAAAGGGCGGCGUGUCGUGAGGCUGCGUCUGACUUCUUUGAGUGCACUGAGCAGAGUGCUUGACAAGUGCUUUCUGUCAGACGCUGGGAUCGCGCGUACCGGAUUUUAAACCCAAGACCUAUGUAAAAUUGUUUGGUCAAGUAGGUCUCACUUGAGUUAGCUGUGAGUUCUCUCUGUGGAGGGAGUGAACAUGUGCUCAUUUGUAUGAAUGGGUUUUCAAAUGUGCACGCAUAUUACAACGUCCAAUAUGCAUAAAUUAAAAUUAAUUAAUUUGCAAUGUUA
rnacentral:lncRNA from 1 species